GUGGGGAAUAUUGGACAAUGGGCGAAAGCCUGAUCCAGCCAUGCCGCGUGUGUGAAGAAGGUCUUCGGAUUGUAAAGCACUUUAAGUUGGGAGGAAGGGCAGUAAGUUAAUACCUUGCUGUUUUGACGUUACCGACAGAAUAAGCACCGACUAACUUCGUGCCAGCAGCCGCGGUAAUACGAAGGGUGCAAGCGUUAAUCGGAAUUACUGGGCGUAAAGCGCGCGUAGGUGGUUUUGUAAGUUGGAGGUGAAAUCCCCGGGCUCAACCUGGGAACUGCCUCCAAAACUGCAUGACUAGAGUACGGUAGAGGGUAGUGGAAUUUCCUGUGUAGCGGUGAAAUGCGUAGAUAUAGGAAGGAACACCAGUGGCGAAGGCGACUACCUGGACUGAUACUGACACUGAGGUGCGAAAGCGUGGGGAGCAAACAGGAUUAGAUACCCUUGUAGUCC
rnacentral:rRNA from 1 species